rnacentral:sRNA from 1 species
AUGAAAUUAAGGCUGCUGCACUUAACGUGCUAAGUGGAUAAUGCCAGAGAUUACACAAUAGGCCAAAUAAUUCAGGGAAAGACGGUCUGGGGGCAGUGUCAGUAUUCUCUGCAAAAGAAGCUAAUAAUGUAUCUCUUCUCCUAGGCUUCCAGACAGUUCGUGUUGGGACAGUGGGCACCCCUGUGGGCACCAUCACUCUUUCUUGUGCUUACAGAAUUAACUUGGCAUUCAUGUCUACCAGGCAAUUUGAGAGGACCCCACCUAUCAUGGGGAUUAUUAUUGAUCACUUUGUGGACCGUCCCUAUCCCAGCUCCUCUCCCAUGCACCCCUGCAAUUACAGAACUGCUGGUGAGGACACUGGAGUAAUAUACCCAUCUGUAGAAGACUCUCAAGAAGUGUGUACCACCUCUUUUUCCACCUCCCCACCAUCCCAGUGUGUGUUUACUGUCACAAAGGCACAUUUUCAGACCCCUACUCCUGUGGUGACGGACACCCUGAGGGUCCCCAUGGCAGGACUGGCCUUUUCCCAUCAAGUGAGUCCAUAAUGGGAAGAAGGGGGUAUAAUCAGAUGACAUCCUUUUAUUUAA